UACGGAGGGUGCGAGCGUUGUCCGGAAUCACUGGGCGUAAAGGGCGCGUAGGCGGCUUCUCAAGCGUGUGGUGAAAGUCCGGGGCUCAACCCCGGAUCGGCCGUGCGGACUGGGGAGCUCGAGUUCUGUAGAGGCGGGUGGAAUUCCGGGUGUAGCGGUGGAAUGCGUAGAGAUCCGGAGGAACACCAGCGGCGAAGGCGGCAUCCUGGACUGGUACUGACGCUGAGACGCGAAAGCGUGGGGAGCGAACAGG
rnacentral:rRNA from 1 species